ACUCCCCUGUGGUGCACGUUAGCAGCCCGGGUAUUUUCUUGAGCCUAAUAGCUACCCUGGGAACAUAAUGCUAAUACCGGUGUGCAUGUCCGUUUUCAUGCGGAAAGCCUGAGGUACUACUGUUGUUCCCACUUGAACCCUCUGGUUCAAGAACAAAGGCACGCGACGGCACAAACGGGGGCGUC
rfam:Endosymbiont of Loripes lucinalis isolate G_E NODE_2_length_1203156_cov_62.8627_ID_3, whole genome shotgun sequence.